rnacentral:rRNA from 1 species
GAACGUACGCUGGCGGCACGCCUAACACAUGCAAGUCGAACGAAGUAGCAAUACUUAGUGGCAGACGGGUGAGUAACAUGUAGGUAUCUGCCCUUUGGCCUGGAAUAACACGAGGAAACUUGUGCUAAUACCGGAUAAGUCUUUACGGAGAAAGCUUUAUGCACCAUUGGAUGAGCCUGCACUUGAUUAGUUUGUUGGUGGGGUAAUGGCCUACCAAGACUGUGAUCAAUAGCUGAUUUGAGAGGAUGAUCAGCCGCAUUGGGACUGAGACACGGCCCAAACUCCUACGGGAGGCAGCAGUGGGGAAUCUUGCACAAUGGAGGAAACUCUGAUGCAGCGAUGCCGCGUGAGUGAAGAAGGCCUUUGGGUUGUAAAGCUCUUUCGUCGGGGAAGAAAAUGACUGUACCCGAAUAAGAAGGUCCGGCUAACUUCGUGCCAGCAGCCGCGGUAAUACGAAGGGACCUAGCGUAGUUCGGAAUUACUGGGCUUAAAGAGUUCGUAGGUGGUUGAAAAAGUUAGUGGUGAAAUCCCAGAGCUUAACUCUGGAACUGCCAUUAAAACUUUUCAGCUAGAGUAUGAUAGAGGAAAGCAGAAUUUCUAGUGUAGAGGUGAAAUUCGUAGAUAUUAGAAAGAAUACCAAUUUGCGAAGGCAGCUUUCUGGAUCAUUACUGACACUGAGGAACGAAAGCAUGGGUAGCGAAGAGGAUUAGAUACCCUCGUAGUCCAUGCCGUAAACGAUGUGUGUUAGACGUUGGAAAUUUAUUUUCAGUGUCGCAGCGAAAGCGAUAAACACACCGCCUGGGGAGUACGACCGCAAGGUUAAAACUCAAAUGAAUUGACGGGGACCCGCACAAGUAGUGGAGCAUGUGGUUUAAUUCGAAGAUACGCGCAGAACCUUACCGACACUUGACAUGUUCGUCGCGACUCUAAGAGAUUAGAGUUUUCGGUUCGGCCGGACGAAACACAGGUGCUGCAUGGCUGUCGUCAGCUCGUGUCGUGAGAUGUUGGGUUAAGUCCCGCAACGAGCGCAACCCUCACUUUUAGUUGCCAUCAUUAAGUUGGGCACUCUGAAAGAACUGCCAGUGAUAAGCUGGAGGAAGGUGGGGAUGACGUCAAGUCCUCAUGGCCCUUACGUGUUGGGCUACACACGUGCUACAAUGGUAUCUACAACAGGAAGCAAGACUGCGAAGUUAAGCAAAUCCCUAAAAGAUACCUCAGUUCGGAUUGCACUCUGCAACUCGAGUGCAUGAAGCUGGAAUUACUAGUAAUCGUGGAUCAGCGUGCCACGGUGAAUGCGUUCCCGGGUCUUGUACACACCGC